AGUGAACGCUGGCGGUAUGCCUAACACAUGCAAGUCGAACGGCAGCACAGUAAGAGCUUGCUCUUACGGGUGGCGAGUGGCGGACGGGUGAGGAAUACAUCGGAAUCUACUUUUUCGUGGGGGAUAACGUAGGGAAACUUACGCUAAUACCGCAUACGACCUACGGGUGAAAGCAGGGGAUCUUCGGACCUUGCGCGAUUGAAUGAGCCGAUGUCGGAUUAGCUAGUUGGCGGGGUAAAGGCCCACCAAGGCGACGAUCCGUAGCUGGUCUGAGAGGAUGAUCAGCCAGACUGGAACUGAGACACGGUCCACACUCAUACGGGAGGCAGCAGUGGGGAAUAUUGGACAAUGGGCGCAAGCCUGAUCCAGCCAUACCGCGUGGGUGAAGAAGGCCUUCGGGUUGUAAAGCCCUUUUGUUGGGAAAGAAAAGCAGCAGGUUAAUACCCCGCUGUUCUGACGGUACCCAAAGAAUAAGCACCGGCUAACUUCGUG
rnacentral:rRNA from 1 species